GGGUGACUGCGUACCUUUUGUAUAAUGGGUCAGCGACUUAUAUUCUGUAGCAAGGUUAACCGAAUAGGGGAGCCGUAGGGAAACCGAGUCUUAACUGGGCGAAUGAGUUGCAGGGUAUAGACCCGAAACCCGGUGAUCUAGCCAUGGGCAGGUUGAAGGUUGGGUAACACUAACUGGAGGACCGAACCGACUAAUGUUGAAAAAUUAGCGGAUGACUUGUGGCUGGGGGUGAAAGGCCAAUCAAACCGGGAGAUAGCUGGUUCUCCCCGAAAGCUAUUUAGGUAGCGCCUCGUGAACUCAUCUUCGGGGGUAGAGCACUGUUUCGGCUAGGGGGUCAUCCCGACUUACCAACCCGAUGCAAACUACGAAUACCGAAGAAUGUUAUCACGGGAGACACACGGCGGGUGCUAACGUUCGUCGUGAAGAGGGAAACAACCCAGACCGCCAGCUAAGGUCCCAAAGUCAUGGUUAAGUGGGAAACGAAGUGGGAAGGCUCAGACAGCCAGGAUGUUGGCUUAGAAGCAGCCAUCAUUUAAAGAAAGCGUAAUAGCUCACUGGUCGAGUCGGCCUGCGCGGAAGAUGUAACGGGGCUAAACCAUGCACCGAAGCUGCGGCAGCGACAUGUAAAUGUUGUUGGGUAGGGGAGCGUUCUGUAAGCCUGUGAAGGUGUGCUGCGAGGCAUGCUGGAGGUAUCAGAAGUGCGAAUGCUGACAUAAGUAACGAUAAUGCGGGUGAAAAACCCGCACGCCGGAAGACCAAGGGUUCCUGUCCAACGUUAAUCGGGGCAGGGUGAGUCGACCCCUAAGGCGAGGCAGAAAUGCGUAGUCGAUGGGAAACAGGUUAAUAUUCCUGUACUGGUGAUAAUUGCGAUGGGGGGACGGAGAAGGCUAGGCUGGCCGGGCGACGGUUGUCCCGGUUUAAGGAUGUAGGUGGGCGAAUUAGGCAAAUCCGGUUCACUGUACACUGAGGUCUGAUGACGAGUCACUACGGUGGCGAAGUAGCUCAUGCCCCGCUUCCAGGAAAAGCCUCUAAGCUCUAGAUUAUCAUUAAUCGUACCCCAAACCGACACAGGUGGUCAGGUAGAGAAUACUCAGGCGCUUGAGAGAACUCGGGUGAAGGAACUAGGCAAAAUGGUGCCGUAACUUCGGGAGAAGGCACGCUGGCAUUAGGUGAAGUGGUUUACCCAUGGAGCUGAAGCCAGUCGCAGAUACCAGCUGGCUGCAACUGUUUAUUAAAAACACAGCACUGUGCAAACACGAAAGUGGACGUAUACGGUGUGACGCCUGCCCGGUGCUGGAAGGUUAAUUGAUGGGGUUAUCCGUAAGGAGAAGCUCUUGAUCGAAGCCCCAGUAAACGGCGGCCGUAACUAUAACGGUCCUAAGGUAGCGAAAUUCCUUGUCGGGUAAGUUCCGACCUGCACGAAUGGCGUAAUGAUGGCCAGGCUGUCUCCACCCGAGACUCAGUGAAAUUGAACUCGCUGUGAAGAUGCAGUGUACCCGCGGCAAGACGGAAAGACCCCGUGAACCUUUACUAUAGCUUGACACUGAACAUUGAGCCUUGAUGUGUAGGAUAGGUGGGAGGCUUUGAAGUGUGGACGCCAGUCUGCAUGGAGCCAACCUUGAAAUACCACCCUUUAAUGUUUGAUGUUCUAACGUUGCCCCGUGAUCCGGGGUGCGGACAGUGUCUGGUGGGUAGUUUGACUGGGGCGGUCUCCUCCCAAAGCGUAACGGAGGAGCACGAAGGUUGGCUAAGCAUGGUCGGACAUCAUGCGGUUAGUGCAAAGGCAUAAGCCAGCUUGACUGCGAGAGUGACGGCUCGAGCAGGUACGAAAGUAGGUCUUAGUGAUCCGGUGGUUCUGAAUGGAAGGGCCAUCGCUCAACGGAUAAAAGGUACUCCGGGGAUAACAGGCUGAUACCGCCCAAGAGUUCAUAUCGACGGCGGUGUUUGGCACCUCGAUGUCGGCUCAUCACAUCCUGGGGCUGAAGUAGGUCCCAAGGGUAUGGCUGUUCGCCAUUUAAAGUGGUACGCGAGCUGGGUUUAGAACGUCGUGAGACAGUUCGGUCCCUAUCUGCCGUGGGCGUUGGAAGAUUGAAAGGGGCUGCUCCUAGUACGAGAGGACCGGAGUGGACGCACCGCUGGUGUUCGGGUUGUCAUGCCAAUGGCACUGCCCGGUAGCUAAGUGCGGAAGAGAUAACCGCUGAAAGCAUCUAAGCGGGAAACUUGCCUUGAGAUGAGUCUUCCCUGACUCUUUAAGGGUCCUAAAGGAACGUUUAAGACGAAGACGUUGAUAGGCUGGGUGUGUAAGCGUAGCGAUACGUUGAGCUAACCAGUACUAAUGAACCGUGAGGCUUAACCUG
rnacentral:rRNA from 1 species